GAUGAACGCUGGCGGCGUGCCUAAUACAUGCAAGUCGAGCGAACGGACGAGAAGCUUGCUUCUCUGAUGUUAGCGGCGGACGGGUGAGUAACACGUGGAUAACCUACCUAUAAGACUGGGAUAACUUCGGGAAACCGGAGCUAAUACGGGAUGAUAUUUUGAACCGCAUGGUUCAAAAGUGAAAGACGGACUUGCUGUCACUUAUAGAUGGAUCCGCGCUGCAUUAGCUAGUUGGUAAGGUAACGGCUUACCAAGGCAACGAUGCAUAGCCGACCUGAGAGGGUGAUCGGCCACACUGGAACUGAGACACGGUCCAGACUCCUACGGGAGGCAGCAGUAGGGAAUCUUCCGCAAUGGGCGAAAGCCUGACGGAGCAACGCCGCGUGAGUGAUGAAGGUCUUCGGAUCGUAAAACUCUGUUAUUAGGGAAGAACAUAUGUGUAAGUAACUGUGCACAUCUUGACGGUACCUAAUCAGAAAGCCACGGCUAACUACGUG
rnacentral:rRNA from 1 species